CAGUCGCCGCGGGAAUACGUAGGUGGCAAGCGUUGUCCGGAAUUAUUGGGCGUAAAGCGCGCGCAGGCGGAUAGGUCAGUCUGUCUUAGAAGUUCGGGGCUUAACCCCGUGAUGGGAUGGAAACUGCCAAUCUAGAGUAUCGGAGAGGAAAGUGGAAUUCCUAGUGUAGCGGUGAAAUGCGUAGAUAUUAGGAAGAACACCAGUGGCGAAGGCGACUUUCUGGACGAAAACUGACGCUGAGGCGCGAAAGCCAGGGGAGCGAACGGGAUUAGAGACCCCCGUAGUCCCUGUCUCUUAUACA
rnacentral:rRNA from 1 species